GACGAACGCUGGCGGCGUGCUUAACACAUGCAAGUCGAAGAUAGUGGCGAACGGGUGAGUAAUACGUGGGUAACCUGCCCUCCUUUUUGGGAUAAGCCUUGGCAACGGCGUCUAAUACCGACUAAAGGGGGAUGGGCUCGCGGCCUAUGAGCUUGUUGGUGGGGUGAUGGACUACCGAGGCGGUGACGGGUAGCCGGACUGAGCGGGGGACCGGGCACAUGGGGACUGCGAUACGGCCAAGGUUGCUACGGGAGGGGGCAGUGGGGGAUAUGGCAAAAGGGGGGAGAGGCUGAGGCAGCGAAGCCGAGUGGGGGAUGAAGGCUUUCGGGUUGUAAACCUGUUUCGAUAGCGAAUGGGUAGGUGGAGAAGAAGCGCCGGCUAACUACGUGCCAGCAGCCGCGGUAAUUC
rnacentral:rRNA from 1 species